rnacentral:pre_miRNA from 1 species
UAGAUAGAUUAUUAUAUUCGACUAUAUUCACGGUAUGUAUUUGUGAAUACAGUAAUGUAAAUAGCGCAAUUCAUGGUCUAUUCAGCUAUUUUUAACGGAAAGUGAAUCAAUUAACACAAUAGACUCCU